UGGGGAAUAUUGCACAAUGGGCGCAAGCCUGAUGCAGCCAUGCCGCGUGUAUGAAGAAGGCCUUCGGGUUGUAAAGUACUUUCAGCGGGGAGGAAGGGAGUAAAGUUAAUACCUUUGCUCAUUGACGUUACCCGCAGAAGAAGCACCGGCUAACUCCGUGCCAGCAGCCGCGGUAAUACGGAGGGUGCAAGCGUUAAUCGGAAUUACUGGGCGUAAAGCGCACGCAGGCGGUUUGUUAAGUCAGAUGUGAAAUCCCUGGGCUCAACCUGGGAACUGCAUCUGAUACUGGCAAGCUUGAGUCUCGUAGAGGGGGGUAGAAUUCCAGGUGUAGCGGUGAAAUGCGUAGAGAUCUGGAGGAAUACCGGUGGCGAAGGCGGCCCCCUGGACGAAGACUGACGCUCAGGUGCGAAAGCGUGGGGAGCAAACAGG
rnacentral:rRNA from 1 species